rnacentral:rRNA from 1 species
GAUGAACGCUGGCGGUAUGCCUAACACAUGCAAGUCGUACGAGAAUUUAUUCAAGUGGCGGACGGGUGAGUAACACGUGAGAAUUUGCCUUUAGGAGGGGGACAACAGUGGGAAACCGCUGCUAAUACCCCAUAUGCUUUCGAGUAAAAUGGAUUUAUCCGCCUAGAGAGAAGCUCGCGGCUGAUUAGCUUGUUGGUAAGGUAAUGGCUUACCAAGGCGACGAUCAGUAUCUGGUUUGAGAGGAUGAUCAGACACACUGGAACUGAGACACGGUCCAGACUCCUACGGGAGGCAGCAGUGGGGAAUUUUCCGCAAUGGGCGAAAGCCUGACGGAGCAAUACCGCGUGAGGGAAGACUGCCUAUGGGUUGUAAACCUCUUUUCUCAGGGAGGAACAUAAUGACGUGUACCUGAGGAAUAAGCAUCGGCUAACUCCGUGCC